rnacentral:rRNA from 1 species
GGAAUCUUCGGCAAUGGGGGCAACCCUGACCGAGCAACGCCGCGUGAGUGAAGAAGGUUUUCGGAUCGUAAAGCUCUGUUGUAAGAGAAGAACGUGUGUGAGAGUGGAAAGUUCACACAGUGACGGUAACUUACCAGAAAGGGACGGCUAACUACGUUCCACGA